UAUAUGUUCUUGGGUUAAGAGAGCAAGUGAAACAUUCUUAGAAGGGUUGUCUACAUGUGCAGUGUGGACUGUUUGAACAAGAGCAGUAGUAGAUGCAGCCAACGAUGCAAUUACUGAAAUAAGAGCAGCUAUACCCGGAAUUAAGCCUGCAAUAAAACAUUUAGGACACCUUGGAUUGUUAGAAAUUAGUUGUAAGGCAUAAACACCUGUAACAUCAUACUAAUCAGUUGUCAAGAUCACAAGGAGCAUAAGAAAUGGUGGUUGUUUCACAAUGAAUACAGUGGUCGCAGAAAUAGAUGGAUCAAUACAGCUUGUCAGAAUACAUCCUGAACAAGAAAUCUUAAAAGUGGUGGGAGAGUCACGUUGUAGGGAGGAGAAACUGUUCUUUGUUUGACUAAGCAAAGCAUGGGGAGAUCGAACACAUGCGUGAACAUAUCUGAAGUCUUUUUUGUUGUUGGGACAUAAGAAAACAGCAGGAUGAAGUGAGGUAAUCAGUCUCCAUAAAGACAAACGAGUGAUGGAAGACUGGGGGUUUUCAAAAAAGACCAAAAGGGGUGAGAGCCACCUGGGACCAUGCCAACAGGAUAUUGGCUCUUCAGAGGGAAAAAUCUGGUUAACUUUGGUCCAAUUAACCUUGGUAAAUUCAGAGAUAAGAUUGUGAAAUGUUCUAAAAUCAAAACCUGGGCUAAAAAUGGACCAAUCAAAGAUGUGGAAUGAGUUAUUAAUUGUGGAUAUUGGACACCCUUAUGGGGGAAUCCACAUUCUCUCCAAGGGGGAAAACCACGUUCCUCAUCAAUUUGUUGCCAAUAUCUGUCUGAGAGUUGUCUACAUUCAGGGAUAUUUUCAGGGGGACUUCAGGAGUUAACUGAACAAAAAAUGUACCUAUUGAGAAAACAAGGGAUAACAUUUGGAGUCGCCACAAGUCUCUUGUCUUUGCUGGGAGAGUCAGUGGUAUAUGAGCGAAAAAUCGACUGACAGUCUGAAAUUGGGUCAGGCCCAAUGGUAAAGCAUAAAGGUGGCACAAUGCUGAGUCUGUAAAAUUAAGAGAAGAUGUGUGCCGUGUAUACUCAUCUGGGGGACCCCCAAGAAAUUCACAAUCACGGGUGUAUACCUGGAAAUCAUUGAGCCGUGUGGCAGGUGAAGAAGGGGAGGUUCUGGGAGGUAGCCCAGUGAGCCUUAGCAGAAACUGGCUUUACCUGACAGGCCAGGAUUGCGAGGAGAGCAACGAAAAUCAUGUCUGGAGGUGGUUGCUGGUUGUUUCCUAACUAUAUCUGUAGCUUGUUGUGGGAGGGCUUGCGGUUGCCCCCGCGACGGGGGACCUGUGGUGCAGGUCAAAGCAGCAAGAUGUCCCCAAGGAGGCAAUGCCUAUGGAUGUAGAGAUAGUCAGUCUACAGGCUGGAUCAGCUUGUCGACAGGGUCAGGUGGAGGUGGGUCGUAGAUGAUGAAGAAGCGUUGCCAGGAGGUGGUUGGGCUGGGUGGGGAGGCAGGCUGGGAAGCUUUGGCUACUGGCUGGACACACGGUCCGAAUCCUGUGAAAAAACACAAGCUAAGGCUUGUCCACUGGUUAGCAGCGGAUCUGGACCCUUCCACACACCUUUCCAUUCUACUAAAGGUUGGGGAGAGCCUUUAUCCCGAUUCCAAAGUCUGUCCAUUGGAGACAAUGCUUCCCUGUUGAGCUUUAAAUGAGUUCGAAUGUGGCGGGGAGAGACGGGUGAGAAAUCACGUCCUGUAGUUAGCAGUUUGAGUUUUGAGCGAUUGGUGAUGGCCCGCCCUGGGGGUUGGAGGGGAUUCCUGCGGAGGGAGACAUUGAAAGGGAGCACAGAGUCUGGCAAAGGCUCUGGAGGUGGGCGCCGGUCCGCAGCCUGUUUUUAUCGCUUUGGGCAUAACUAGAUAUGAGAAGCAUGUCAGUGAAGGCUAUGCGUCACCUGUGUGUGCUGUGGCCGAAAUUCCACGAGAAAAUGUAUCAUUGAGACCCGUGCAUAAGAUAAACGGCCAAAGGCGGGACGUGUGUGCCGGCCAUCUGCCGAGGGUGGUUUGGUCGGAGACUCCGGGGUGCACACCGUAGCUGGGAGAAUGAAGGCGUAAAGGACAAUGUGGACCAUUAGGACCCGGCGUCCUGGCUGCUUCUCUGCUCUAUGAAGUUGGUGACGCAGAGCAGAGGCGUCCUGGUGGUGCCGGUUGUGGCUGGCCUCAGCAUCCUCUCUAGCUGUAAAGACUGCGCGGUUCGGCCAUCAGCCAGGCGGAUGCCCUGGUGAAUGGGGCUCUGACACCCCCAAUGGGGGAAGGGGUGUCUCGGCUCGGAUCAGCUUCUGGAGCUCCGGGAGGAGUGAGAUGCUGAGAACCGGAACACACGCUCAAAGGGACAGUGGCUAGUUUCUGAAAGGCAGAAGUGACUGCUGCCAGCUCUGUACGUUGGGCAGAGACCUCUUUCGUUGGCUGUACAAAUGGUUGGUUAUGACUGUAACGGCUUUCCAUUAGAGCAUCCGUCUGUAAAAACAAUAGCUGAAGGGGGAGACGGGAGUGGGCUCAGGGGUGACCGGGAAGGAAACAGGACUGCUUGUCUCUUUAAGAACCACAAGAGAGGGUUAGAAGGAAUGUGAUAAGCAAGGGCCCCAGCGUAUCCUGCUACCGAAACCUGCCAAUCAGUUGAACAGCAAUAAAGAUCAUUAAUCUAUGCAGCAUUUAGAUGCUGGAGGAGGGGUCUACACCAAAAGGUUCUCCGCUCCUCCUGUGGCCUUUUAAAAUCAGUUCAACAAUUAGCAUGACGUAUGAGGAAAUAGCUUUCCAGGUCCUGAGGCAGACCCCUUCUCCAGUUUCCCUGCUGCCUGUUUUGAGGGGUCCUUGCUAGGGAGGAGGGGACCAUCAAUGUGCUAUUUUGACUGACAGUCCUUCAACCAAUGAAAUCCCUUUCUGGCACCACCCACCCCAAGUUCUGGGGAGGUCAGUUGUCUGCUGUGGGUUUCUUUUGUUCUUUUCUGGACAAUCUCAGCUAAUAUGUCUGAAUUGUCCACAUUAAAGCAUUCUUGCCCUGUU